UACAGGGGGGGGGGCAAGCGUUGUUCGGAAUUACUGGGCGUAAAGGGCUCGUAGGUGGCCAACUAAGUCAGACGUGAAAUCCCUCAGCUUAACUGGGGAACUGCGUCUGAUACUGGAUGGCUUGAGUUUUGGGGAGAGGGAUGCGGAAUUUCCAGGUGUAGCGGUGAAAUGCGUAGAGAUCCGGAGGAACCCCAGAGGCGAAGGCGGCGCCCUGGCUCGCAACUGGACGCUCAGACACGGACAGCAUGGGGAGCGGAACGGGG
rnacentral:rRNA from 1 species